CUAGCUUGAAAGAUAUACCUCCCCUAUAGCCUUAUCUUUCAGAGCCUCAGUUGACCUCAAGGCCUUGAUUUCACCCUGGCAUGUGGAACCUGAUCAAGACUCUGGAAAACCAGAAGUGAGAGAAAAAUAAUGCAGAAAAGAGAGAAGAACAAGACAGAGAGAUGUGAACCUUUGAGCUGGUUUUGCAAACGAUCAAUUUGCAGCACAGUUGGGUCUGCAUGAACAAGAGGAAGCUCCUCUCCAACAUGUUCUUCGUAGCUUACCAUGUUGCUUUCUUUGAAACUGAGAAAUGCACAGACAGCUUCGUACAAUUCAACAACUGGAGCCUGUUGGGUUAUAUAGAGUAGUAGUAGUAUUUGUUUUGGUUUGGUUAUUGGUGGUGGAAAAAAAAAGACAAAACUGCUGAGUCCAAAAUCACCAACAACAACAAAUGGAGGAAGCUGGGUGGGUAAAUUAAAUUAAUCAGUAUGAUACAAGUUUCUGUUC